AUGGAUCAUCCGGAAAAUAUAGUAACACAACUUAUCCAGGAAGAGCAUAGAUCAAAAUGGAUAGCAAGAAGCAAUCAUAAUGUGAAAUGUUUUACAGAAGAUGAGAUAAAAAGAUUUACCAACAACUAUAAGACUUUACUCGGUAGAGGUAGCUUUGGAGAAGUUUAUGAAGGGGUCCUUGAAGACAAAAGAAUGGUUGCAGUCAAGAAGUAUAUCUGCAAUGUUAAAGAAAAUUUUGCCAAAGAGUUGACCGUCCACCGUGAGAUCAAUCACAAGAAUGUAGUCAGACUAGUCGGCUACUGUGUAGAUGAAAAUGCCCUAAUGGUGGUCAUGGAGUAUAUUCCUAAAGGAAAUCUGAGUGACAUCCUUCAUCGGGAUAGUAUUCCCAUUGCUUUGGAUACACGGCUAAGAAUUGCCAUUGAAUGUGCAGAAGCAUUGGGCUAUAUGCACUCACAAAUGUAUACUCAGGUCAUUCAUGGUGAUAUCAAGCCUGCUAAUAUACUUCUGGAUGAUGGACUCAGUGCAAAAAUAUCAGACUUUGGAAUAUCCAGACUAGUCAACACUGAAAAUACUCUAUAUACUCUAAAUGUGAUAGGAAGUAUAGGCUACAUGGACCCUCUGUUUGCUCAAAAUGAUCGCCUCACAGCGAAGAGUGAUGUUUAUAGUUUUGGAGUUGUGCUCCUGGAACUGAUAACCAGAAAAAAAAGCAAGAACAGAGGGUGGGGAGAUUGGCUUGGUUGA
rnacentral:rRNA from 1 species